rnacentral:rRNA from 1 species
ACGCGAAAGGAAACUACCAGCUCUUGACAUUCGGGGUAUGGGCAUUGGAGACGAUGUCCUUCAGUUAGGCUGGCCCCAGAACAGGUGCUGCAUGGCUGUCGUCAGCUCGUGUCGUGAGAUGUUGGGUUAAGUCCCGCAACGAGCGCAACCCUCGCCCUUAGUUGCCAGCAUUGAGUUGGGCACUCUAAGGGGACUGCCGGUGAUAAGCCGAGAGGAAGGUGGGGAUGACGUCAAGUCCUCAUGGCCCUUACGGGCUGGGCUACACACGUGCUACAAUGGUGGUGACAGUGGGCAGCGAGACAGCGAUGUCGAGCUAAUCUCCAAAAGCCAUCUCAGUUCGGAUUGCACUCUGCAACUCGAGUGCAUGAAGUUGGAAUCGCUAGUAAUCGCAGAUCAGCAUGAUGCGGGAAUAC